CAUGCCACUAUGCUAUCUCUAAUUCUGCCAUCCAGACCGAGCAAACGUACUUAAGACCUUUGUGUAAGAUCAGAAAAUCAUAAGACAGCAUUAAAAAGUACUAUACAGGAGGAGAUGGAACAAGAUGGCCAAAUAGAAGCCUCCAGCAAUCAUCUCCCCGAAAGGAAUUGAACAACUAUCAAAACAAAAUUGAACAACUAUCUAAACAAAAAAGUACCUUCAUAAAAAACAAAAAUCAGGACAAUAUCAGAACGGCACAUACAAGUGUCCCCAAGUCAUAUUUGGAAUAAGAUCACUUGGGAACACAAGUCAAAGAAGGACACAGUGUUCUGCCUCUCCUGAGUAAGCAGCAACAACGCACCAUCUUGGAAUCAGGGGACGGCCCUCACCAGACAACUAAAUCUGCAGACACCUUGGACUUCCCAGCCUCCAGAACUGUCUUUCUGGCAACUGUCUAAACAUAAACCAGAGAAGGGCAAGGCAGACUCAGGAAGGACAAAUAGAAGGCUAUUUUCAUAAAUCGGUGAUCAGAAGAACAUAUUCCAUUUCCUGAGAUGAAAAAAUCCUUAGGAAGAGAAAGUUUUAAGGAAACCAAGAGUUCCAUUAUGGACAAAGCAUACAAUGGUGGACAAAACAGCUGCCUUUCUUCCCCGUAUGGAGCUUACAGUAUAGUGAAUAUUUCAUGGGACUAGUAUCUACAGAAGGUGUUUUGGGAAGCACAGCUUUGGAGAGAGUAAUUUGCCAACAUUGCACAGAAUAAAGGCACCAUGAGGGCCCAAGGAAGGAAAAGAUUUGCAGCUGUCUUGACCACCACCACAUGUGCAGCAUCCCUCUGGGUCUCUUCCAUGACAACCCUGUGGGAAGCCAGGCAAGUGAGAAUCAAUGUAAACAUGAAGUUCAUGCUGCUUACUGUGUCGUGAUAAUGUCCUUGUCUCCCAAUCAGGAGAUGCUUCUCUUCUGUC
rnacentral:lncRNA from 10 species